rnacentral:rRNA from 1 species
GAGCGGUAAGGCCUUUCGGGGUACACGAGCGGCGAACGGGUGAGUAACACGUGGGUGAUCUGCCCUGCACUUCGGGAUAAGCCUGGGAAACUGGGUCUAAUACCGGAUAUGACCUCCUAUCGCAUGGUGGGUGGUGGAAAGAUUUAUCGGUGCAGGAUGGGCCCGCGGCCUAUCAGCUUGUUGGUGGGGUAAUGGCCUACCAAGGCGACGACGGGUAGCCGACCUGAGAGGGUGACCGGCCACACUGGGACUGAGACACGGCCCAGACUCCUACGGGAGGCAGCAGUGGGGAAUAUUGCACAAUGGGCGAAAGCCUGAUGCAGCGACGCCGCGUGAGGGAUGACGGCCUUCGGGUUGUAAACCUCUUUCAGCAGGGACGAAGCGCAAGUGACGGUACCUGCAGAAGAAGCACCGGCUAACUACGUGCCAGCAGCCGCGGUAAUACGUAGGGUGCAAGCGUUGUCCGGAAUUACUGGGCGUAAAGAGUUCGUAGGCGGUUUGUCGCGUCGUUUGUGAAAACCAGCAGCUCAACUGCUGGCUUGCAGGCGAUACGGGCAGACUUGAGUACUGCAGGGGAGACUGGAAUUCCUGGUGUAGCGGUGAAAUGCGCAGAUAUCAGGAGGAACACCGGUGGCGAAGGCGGGUCUCUGGGCAGUAACUGACGCUGAGGAACGAAAGCGUGGGUAGCGAACAGGAUUAGAUACCCUGGUAGUCCACGCCGUAAACGGUGGGCGCUAGGUGUGGGUUCCUUCCACGGAAUCCGUGCCGUAGCUAACGCAUUAAGCGCCCCGCCUGGGGAG